rnacentral:snRNA from 1 species
GUGUUCGCUUCGGCAGCACAUAUACUAAAAUUGGAACGAUACAGAGAAGAUUAACAUGGCCCCUGCGCAAAAACUCCUCACACAUUCACCGAGAAUAAUGUUUU